rnacentral:rRNA from 1 species
GACGAACGCUGGCGGCGUGCUUAACACAUGCAAGUCGAACGGAAAGGCCCUGCUUUUGUGGGGUGCUCGAGUGGCGAGCGGGUGAGUAACACGUGAGUAACCUGCCCUUGACUUUGGGAUAACUUCAGGAAACUGGGGCUAAUACCGGAUAGGAGCUCCUGCUGCAUGGUGGGGGUUGGAAAGUUUCGGCGGUUGGGGAUGGACUCGCGGCUUAUCAGCUUGUUGGUGGGGUAGUGGCUUACCAAGGCUUUGACGGGUAGCCGGCCUGAGAGGGUGACCGGCGACAUUGGGACUGAGAUACGGCCCAGACUCCUACGGGAGGCAGCAGUGGGGAAUAUUGCACAAUGGGCGGAAGCCUGAUGCAGCAACGCCGCGUGCGGGAUGACGGCCUUCGGGUUGUAAACCGCUUUCGCCUGUGACGAAGCGUGAGUGACGGUAAUGGGUAGAGAAGCACCGGCUAACUACGUG